UCAGAGCGCAAUAGCGGACAUUUAGGUGGUGUUAGUUGCGGUCAUAGUGGGCAAAUUUCAGACGCGCACCCAACCGGACAACCCUAAAUCCACUCACUCCCUCUCCUCUCCGGUUGGCGGCUGGCGACCGGCGCCUCCCCUAGAUCCAGCGGCGGCACGGCUGACGCCGGACAGAGAGGCGGAGAAGAGAUCAUCGAAUGGCGCUCCCGUAGCACUCACUGUCUCCCUGUUCGUUGACUGGGUGGCCACUUCUUGCUCGGCUCGAUGCCCUUCACCGGUCGACGACGGGACAACACAGCGAGUCGUGGGCUCGUGGGUCGUGGCAGACCCUCGGUAGGAUGGCGGCGACCACAUCCGCUCCGCUGUCCCCUUCCUGCGUAGCUGCUCAACGCCCUACUUCUCAACGUCCCAAUCCGGCUGCCCGACUUCCCAACUGCUUCUUCUCACCACGCUUCACCACCUCAAGGAGUCAAGUAGGCUACUAGCACAAUGUCAUCAGUAGGAUCAGGGGCUUCUUCUGCUGCCGCAACCGGAAGAACACGAAAAGAUCCAGCCUGGGAGCAUGCUUUACCAAUUAUUGAUGAAUUCAGAACCAAGAACAGAGUUGGAUGCAGAUACUGCUUGAACUUUUUUAAUGGUGGCAUUACCAGAUUUAAGAAGCACUUGGCUGGAAUAAAAAAAGAUUCUGUAUGUUGCCGACAGGUUCCUGAUCAUGUUAAAGAGCAGAUGCUUACAUUGAUAGCUGAGAAUGAGAAAAAGAGGGAUAAAUCACUGAAGAACAUGUUGGAGUUGCAAGAGGAGGUCAGAGAGAUGUAUUGUUAGAGUGGGAAUGAGGAUUCAGAUUGCGCAAUCGUUGAUUAUCUUGCUACUACAGCAAGCGGAAGCUCUCAAGUUCCUAAGAAGCCUCAGACCAAGGGUCCAAUGGAUAAGUAUCGAGCACGGCCAGGAUUGGGAAAGCAAACUACAGUGAAUGCACAUUACAAGGUCAAAGAAGCAAAGAUAACUUAUGAUUAUAUCUGUGACUUCUUUAUUGAGGGUGCCCUUGCUCAUAAUAUUGCUAGUCUUACAUCAUUUGCUCGAAUGGUAGAAGCAAUGGUUGUACUUUUGGUUAUUAGGCGAUGGUCUAAUGGAUCAUGGACUACGAAUGUUUAAAUAUAUGAUAUUACUAGCUCUUGGUUGUACUUUUGAAGUCUGAACUUAUUUAUGAAAUGAUGAAGUAGAAUGCCUAUGAAA